rnacentral:rRNA from 1 species
UACGUAGGGGGGCAACGUUGUCCGGAAUUAUUGGGCGUAAAGAGCGUGUAGGCGGUCCGGUAAGUCAGCUGUGAAAGUCAAGGGCUCAACCCUUGAAUGCCGGUUGAUACUGUCGGGCUAGAGUCCGGAAGAGGCGAGUGGAAUUCCCGGUGUAGCGGUGAAAUGCGCAGAUAUCGGGAGGAACACCAGUGGCGAAGGCGACUACCUGGCCUGUUUCUUGACGCUGAGGCGCGAAAGCUAGGGGAGCAAACGGGG